ensembl:lncRNA
AUGGCAACAUACUGUCUUUAUCCUGUAUCUCUGUGUUCCCAUACAGACACCAUACAGACACCAUACUGUCUUUAUCCUGUAUCUCUGUGUUCCCAUACAGACACCAUACUGUCUUUAUCCUGUAUCUCUGUGUGUUCCCAUACAGACACCAUACUGUCUUUAUCCUGUAUCUCUGUGUUCCCAUACAGACACCAUACUGUCUUUAUCCUGUAUCUCUGUGUGUUCCCAUACAGACACCAUACUGUCUUUAUCCUGUAUCUCUGUGUCCCCAUACAGACACCAUACUGUCUUUAUCCCGUAUCUCUGUGUUCCCAUACAGACACCAUACUGUCUUUAUCCUGUAUCUCUGUGUUCCCACACAGACACUAUACUGUCUUUAUCCUGUAUCUCUGUGUUCCCAUACAGACACCAUACAGACACCAUACUGUCUUUAUCCUGUAUCUCUGUGUUUCCAUACAGACACCAUACUGUCUUUAUCCUGUAUCUCUGUGUUCCCAUACAGACAUCAUACUGUCUUUAUCCUGUAUCUCUGUGUUCCCAUACAGACACCAUACUGUCUUUAUCCUGUAUCUCUGUGUUCCCAUACAGACACCAUACUGUCUUUAUCCUGUAUCUCUGUGUUCCCAUACAGACACCAUACAGACACCAUACUGUCUUUAUCCUGUAUCUCUGUGUUCCCAUACAGACACCAUACUGUCUUUAUCCUGUAUCUCUGUGUUCCCAUACAGACACCAUACUGUCUUUAUCCUGUAUCUCUGUGUUCCCAUACAGACACCAUACUGUCUCUUUCCUGUAUCUCUGUGUUUCCAUACAGACACCAUACAGACACCAUACUGUCUUUAUCCUGUAUCUGUGUGUUCCCAUACAGACACCAUACUGUCUUUAUCCUGUAUCUCUGUGUUCCCAUACAGACACCAUACUGUCUUUAUCCUGUAUCUCUGUGUUCCCAUACAGACACCAUACUGUCUCUUUCCUGUAUCUCUGUGUUUCCAUACAGACACCAUACAGACACCAUACUGUCUUUAUCCUGUAUCUGUGUGCUCCCAUACAGACACCAUACUGUCUUUAUCCUGUAUCUCUGUGUUCCCCAUACAGACACCAUACUAUCUUUCUCCUGUAUCUCUGUGUUCCCAUACAGACACCAUAUUGUCUUUAUCCCGUAUCUCUGUGUGUUUCCAUACAGACACCAUACUAUCUUUAUCCCGUAUCUCUGUGUUUCCAUACAGACACCAUACUGUCUUUAUCCCGUAUCUCUGUGUGCUCCCAUACAGACACCAUACUGUCUUUAUCCUGUAUCUCUGUGUUUCCAUACAGACACCAUACUGUCUUUAUCCCGUAUCUCUGUGUUCCCAUACAGACACCAUACUGUCUUUAUCCCGUAUCUCUGUGUGUUCCCAUACAGACACCAUACUGUCUUUAUCCUGUAUCUCUGUGCUCCCAUACAGACACCAUACAGACACCAUACUGUCUUUAUCCUGUAUCUCUGUGUUUCCAUACAGACACCAUACUGUCUUUAUCCCGUAUCUCUGUGUUCCCAUACAGACACCAUACUGUCUUUAUCCCGUAUCUCUGUGUGUUCCCAUACAGACACCAUACUGUCUUUAUCCUGUAUCUCUGUGCUCCCAUACAGACACCAUACAGACACCAUACUGUCUUUAUCCUGUAUCUCUGUGUUUCCAUACAGACACCAUACUGUCUUUAUCCUGUAUCUCUGUGUUCCCAUACAGACACCAUACUGUCUUUAUCCUGUAUCUCUGUGUUCCCAUACAGACACCAUACUGUCUUUAUCCUGUAUCUCUGUGUUCCCAUACAGACACCAUACUGUCUUUAUCCUGUAUCUCUGUGUUCCCAUACAGACACCAUACUGUCUUUAUCCUGUAUCUCUAUGUUCCCCAUACAGACACCAUACAGACACCAUACUGUCUUUAUCCUGUAUCUCUGUGUUCCCAUACAGACACCAUACUGUCUUUAUCCUGUAUCUCUGUGUUCCCAUACAGACACCAUACUGUCUUUAUCCUGUAUCUCUGUGUUCCCCAUACAGACACCAUACAGACACCAUACUGUCUUUAUCCUGUAUCUCUGUGUUCCCAUACAGACACCAUACUGUCUUUAUCCUGUAUCUCUGUGUUCCCAUACAGCGCUCCUCAGAUAAACAGAUGUAAUUGA